GCCUUGCUUAGCCACACCCCCAAGGGAACUCAGCAGUGAUAAACAUUAAGCAAUAAGCGAAAGCUUGACUUAGUUAGAGUUAAAUAGGGCCGGUAAAACUCGUGCCAGCCACCGCGGUUAUACGAGGGGCCCAAACUGAUAAAUCACGGCGUAAAGUGUGAUUAAAGACAUACGUAUACUAAAGCUAAAUAGCCCCUAUGCUGUCAUACGCCAUGGGGCCCACGAAGUCCAACAACGAAAGUGGCUUUAUAAACCUUGAACUCACGACAGUCAGGGCACAAACUGGGAUUAGAUACCCCACUAUGCUUGACCUUAAACUACGGCGAUAGACCUACAAACUUCGCCCGCCAGGGGACUACGAGCGCUAGCUUAAAACCCAAAGGACUUGGCGGUGCCUUAAACCCACCUAGAGGAGCCUGUUCUAUAACCGAUAAUCCCCGUUAAACCUCACCCCUCCUUGUUAAUCCCGCCUAUAUACCGCCGUCGCCAGUUUACCUUAUGAAAGAAUAAUAGUAAGCAAAAGGGGCACUACCCAAAACGUCAGGUCGAGGUGUAGCGAAUGGAGAGGGAAGAAAUGGGCUACAUUUUUCUGCAACAGAAUAUAACGAAAAGUGUAAUGAAAAAUACACAGUUGAAGGCGGAUUUAGCAGUAAAAAGGAAAUAGAGAGUUCUUUUUGAAGCCGGUCUUGAGGCGCGUACACACCG
rnacentral:rRNA from 1 species